rnacentral:rRNA from 1 species
UACGAGGGGGGCAAAUGUUGUUCGGAAUCACUGGGCGUAAAGGGAGCGUAGGCGGGUGUUUAAGUUAGGUGUUUAAUUCCGGGGCCCAACCCCGGGCGUGCACCUAAAACUGGACAUCUUGAAUAGGGGAGAGGUCAGUGGAAUUGGAGGUGUAGCGGUGGAAUGCGUAGAGAUCUCCAAGAACACCAGUUGCGAAGGCGGCUGACUGGACCCAUAUUGACGCUGAGGCUCGAAAGCAUGGGGAGCAAACAGG